AUGGCGUCCAACAGCGCUCAACUGCUUGCUGCCUUCUCCUUGGCCCUGCUCCUCAUUUCCUCCGGCGCUAAGCUGAAAGAUUGCGCCCGUAUUGAUAUUGGUGAAUGCAACCAACAUAAAUGCAUUACGGCCUGCAUCAAAUUAAACUACAAUACGGCUAUCUGCGAUAACGACGCAGCCAGCGAAGACAGCGGAGGAGACGUUUCCUUGAACGAGAUGGGGUUAUACGGGUCGUGCGUGUGUUGUUAG
rnacentral:rRNA from 1 species